UACGAAGGGGGCUAGCGUUGCUCGGAAUCACUGGGCGUAAAGGGUGCGUAGGCGGGUCUUUAAGUCAGGGGUGAAAUCCUGGAGCUCAACUCCAGAACUGCCUUGAUACUGAAGAUCUUGAGUUCGGGAGAGGUGAGUGGAACUGCGAGUGUAGAGGUGGAAAUUCGUAGAUAUUCGCAAGAACACCAGUGGCGAAGGCGGCUCACUGGCCCGAUACUGACGCUGAGGCACGAAAGCGUGGGAGCAACAGGG
rnacentral:rRNA from 1 species